UGGCGUAGUACGCAAAGCGUCGGCUUGCUAAGCCGAAGGUCCCGAGUUCAAUUCCCGG
rnacentral:tRNA from 1 species